rnacentral:rRNA from 1 species
UACGGAGGGGGCGAGCGUUAUCCGGAUUUAUUGGGCAUAAAGGGCGCGUAGGUGGCGUCUUAAGUCAGAUGUUAAAGGCACCGGCUCAACCGGUGUUUGCGUUUGAAACUGAGAUGCUAGAGGACAGUAGAGGAAAGCGGAACUCACAGUGGAGCGGUGAAAUGCGUAGAUAUUGUGAGGAACACCAGUUGCGAAGGCGGCUUUCUGGCCUGCUCCUGACACUGAGGCGCGAAAGCGUGGGGAGCGAACGGG